rfam:Triticum aestivum genome assembly, contig: Triticum_aestivum_CS42_TGACv1_scaffold_486513_6AS
CACCUACUCCCUCCGUUCGGAAUUACUUGUCGUAGAAAUGGAUGUAUCUAGACGUAUUUUCUAGAUACAUCCAUUUCUACGACAAGUAAUUCCAAACGGAGGGAGUAAAUG